rfam:Enterobius vermicularis genome assembly, scaffold: EVEC_scaffold0001473
GCCUCAUUGGCUCAGGGACAGAGUGUCUGUCUGGUAAACAGAAGGCCGCUGGUUCGAUUCCAGCAUAAGGCA